rnacentral:rRNA from 1 species
GAUGAACGCUGACAGAAUGCUUAACACAUGCAAGUCUUUGGCGAAGCUGUGCUUGCACAGCCUAGCCAAGGCGGACGGGUGAGUAACGCGUAAGGAACUUGCCCUGCAGUCAGGGAUAACAGACGGAAACGACUGAUAAGACCUGGUAAAGUCAGGCGGACUCAUGUCCAGCCUGAUGAAAAGAGAUGCUGCAGGAGAGCCUUGCGUCCUAUUAGCUUGUUGGUGGGGUAACGGCCCACCAAGGCGAUGAUAGGUAGCCGGCCUGAGAGGGUGGACGGCCACAAGGGGACUGAGAUACGGCACUUACUACUACGGGAGGCAGCAGUGGGGAAUAUUGGACAAUGGGGGCAACCCUGAUCAAGCAAUUCUGUGUGCACGAUGAAGGUUUUCGGAUUGUAAAGUGCUUUCAGCAGGGAAGAAAAAAAUGACGGUACCUGCAGAAGAAGCGACGGCUAAAUACGUG